rfam:Bombyx mori DNA, contig: Bm_scaf4_contig3652, strain: p50T/Dazao, build 2, whole genome shotgun sequence.
UUAAGUCAAAUUUGUAUGGAGUUGGAACGUUUGCCUAUGUUUGCCGCUAGGGGCACUGUUCCAGCUGCAUACAAAUUUCAGGUA